rnacentral:lncRNA from 1 species
UACAGUCUAUAGCAUUCUGUACUUUAGAGAAAUGUUGAUAUGGUUACGUUACAUUUUAAGCACAUUUUGUUAUGAGUUAUGGUUAUGCUAAAAUAAUAUUAAUUUUGAAGGUUGUCCUCAUUUUACUAGUCAUGGCAUCUGAUCACCUUUUUCUUCAUCGUUCUUCUUAUGUGUCCUUUGGUUUGAAUGCAGGAUAUGCCUAGCUACUGAUGGUAGCUGGUUUCAAUAAGACCAAAGGCAGUGAUUUCUUAAUCAGGCUUUGGCCCUACAGAGGGACCACACCUGCUAAAGCACAGCACAAUGCUUUUGGCAGGUGUUCUCCUCCGAUAGGUCCUACACCACCACAGCGCUCCUCAGCAGAGAGCACAGGAGAUGGGCUCCUACAGCACUGCUCCGACUCCUCAACUAUUUGGUACUGGCAGCCCUUGCAGUUUCCUUCCUUCUGCUGCAGUUGUUGUUCAGGAAAAUUGAUCUUUCUGCACUAGGAAGAAGCGUGUCUGCAGGAGAGGACUUUCUCAGGGACUUGUUUCAAGGGUAAGGCAUUAGUUUGCCAGGAGUUAAGGACAAUUGCAAAUCUUGUGCUGCCUCAAGUUCAGCAUGCAUUUCUUUGGUCCCCAUAGUAAUGGGGGAAUUUCACAAUGUGCACGAGCAUUAAACAAUAAACAAUGAAUUUUUUAGAGAGUAAGCA